rnacentral:tRNA from 1 species
GGUUUUGUAGUGAAAUUCAUGUUGAGUUGCAAGCUCAUCGAUGUGUGCUAAGAGCAUGCCAAGACCU